UCCGUAGGUGAACCUGCGGAAGGAUCAUUACCGAAUUGUCAACACGAGUUGUUGCUGGUCCUCAAAACGGGGGCAUGUGCACGCUCUGUUUACACAUCCACUCACACCUGUGCACCCUCUGUAGUUCUGUGGCGUGGGGGACUCUGUCCUCCUGUUGCGGUCCUACGUCUUUACACACACUCUGUAACAAAGUCUCAUGGAAUGCAUAUGAAGCGUUUAACGCAAUACAAUACAGCUUUCAGCAACGGAUCUCUUGGCUCUCGCAUCGAUGAAGAACGCAGCGAAAUGCGAUAAGUAAUGUGAAUUGCAGAAUUCAGUGAAUCAUCGAAUCUUUGAACGCACCUUGCGCCCUUUGGUAUUCCGAUGGGCAUGCCUGUUCGAGUGUCUUGAAUUCAUCGCCGCCUCCGGUUUUGCGACCGGCUGGUGGCGGACUUGGGGGUCUGCCGCGGAGACGCGGCUCCCCUUGAAUGCAUCGGUGGGGUCUCCGAGCACCCACGGGCGUUGUAUUGUCCUCGUCCGACCGGGCCUCGCGUCCCCCGCCUCGACCUGCCGUCUGAGCGGCGGUCAAGCACACUUUGAAAUCUGACCUCGAAUCAGGUAGGACUACCCGCUGAACUUAAGCAUAUCAAUAAGCGGAGGA
rnacentral:rRNA from 1 species